rnacentral:rRNA from 1 species
UACGUAGGGUGCAAGCGUUAUCCAGAUUUACUGGGCGUAAAGCGCACGCAGGCGGAUGAUUAAGUCAGCUGUGAAAGCUCCCGGCUCAACUGGGAAGGGUCGGCUGAAACUGGUCGUCUGGAGGGCAACAGAGGAGUGUAGAAUUGCGGGUGUAGUGGUGAAAUGCGUAGAUAUCCGCAGGAAUACCAGUGGCGAAGGCGGCACUCUGGGUUGUACCUGACGCUGAUGUGCGAAGGCUAGGGGGAGCGAACAGG